CCCUUAGAUGUUCUGGGCUGCACGCGCGCUACACUGAAGCUAUCAACACGUUUUCCCUCCCUGAGAAGGGCGGGUAACCUUUUGAAUCAGCUUCGUGGUAGGGAUCGGGGCUUGCAAUUGUUCCCCGUGAACCAGGAAUUCCUAGUAGACGCGAGUCAUAAGCUCGCAUCGAUUAAGUCCCUGCCCUUUGUACACACCGCCCGACGCUACUACCGAUUGAACGUUUUAGUGAGGCAUUUGGACCGACGCAUCUCAGUUUAACCGCUGGUUUGUGUUGGAAAGACUUCCAAACUUGAGCGUUUAGAGGAAGUAAAAGUCGUAACA
rnacentral:rRNA from 1 species